rnacentral:rRNA from 1 species
UACGGGGGGGGCAAGCGUUGUCCGGAAUUACUGGGCGUAAAGGGUUCGUAGGUGGCCACUUAAGUCAGACGUGAAAUCCCUCAGCUUAACUGGGGAACUGCGUCUGAUACUGAGUGGCUUGAGUGCAGGAGAGGAAUGCGGAAUUCCAGGUGUAGCGGUGAAAUGCGUAGAUAUCUGGAGGAACACCGGUGGCGAAGGCGGCAUUCUGGACUGUAACUGACACUGAGGAACGAAAGCCAGGGGAGCAAACGGG